AGCUGUGUAAAGUUCAAGUAUCUGCUCGAUUUAUCAAGACAUCACAUAUUUGCAAAAAUGCUCCGACGUUUUCGGAGACGUCCAUUUUUUUCAUGCUUUGUGGCAGCUGUUGAACAUCUGUGGCAUCUAUUAAUGUCAAAUAUAGCCUUUAUUUACCAACAUAAGCAAACUCUAUGUUACAAUGAUUGCACAGCCAUUAAGGAUCAAAUCAGUUUCAGUUUUUUCUCCCUCUGCUUGCUUCUUGCUGUCUUUGAGGCUCGGGACCAGCAGAAGGACAUCAACUUGAGAUAUGGCUGCACGAUGCUGUUGCUGGUGACUCCAGUUAAUUAUACAAGACACGCUGUGACAACAGGAGAGAUGAGUCCUCCGUCACAGAUGGUGUGGUCAGUGAAGAUGGUCGCCUGCAGGUUCAAGCUCAUUGCAUCUCCAACCCACAUCCACUGCCACUGUACUUAAGGGAAGUUAAAGACUUUCUUCUGCACCUACAUUUGGAUCACCUCGAUCCAUGACAGUCAUUCAGCAGUAAUGCCUGGACUGGAAACAAGCAUCCUUAAAACAUUACAACAUUCCAGCUCCUGUGUUGGAAUGAAAAACAAAUGUGUUGUUUAAAUCAGAGACUGCACUUGUGACAGAACAACAAAUAUUUUAUUUUGAUUAUAUAAGUAAUGUAAGGCAUACAGCUCAUCACCUCUGCCUCCCCUGGGGGGCUCAGAUCACAACCUUCCGGAGACGCAGACCCACCACACUGACACCGGUGAACAUCCAGGGAGUGGACAUUGAGAUAGUGGACUCUUAUAGGUACCUGGGUGUUCACCUGAAUAAUAAACUGGACUGGAGCCACAACACUGAUG